AUUGAACGCUAGCGGGAUGCCUUACACAUGCAAGUCGAACGGAGUGGCGAACGGGUGCGUAAUGUAUCGGAACGUGCCCAGUAGAGGGGGAUAACUACGAGAAAGCGAAGCUAAUACCGCAUACUCUUGGAGCCGCCGAUAUCGGAUUAGCUAGUGGGUGGGGUAACGGCUCACCAAGGCGACGAUCCGUAGCGGGUUUGAGAGGACGACCAGCCACACUGGGACUGAGACACGGCCCAGACUCACACGGGAGGCAGCAGGGGGGAAUAUUGGAAAAUGGGGGAAACCCUGAUCCAGCCAUCCCGCGUGUGCGAUGAAGGCCUUCGGGUUGUAAAGCACUUUUGGCAGGAAAGCGGUACCUGCAGAAUAAGCACCGGCUAACUACGUGCCAGCAGCCGCGGUAAUAC
rnacentral:rRNA from 1 species